rnacentral:rRNA from 1 species
GAUGAACGCUGGCGGCGUGCCUAAUACAUGCAAGUCGAGCGAACGGACGAGAAGCUUGCUUCUCUGAUGUUAGCGGCGGACGGGUGAGUAACACGUGGAUAACCUACCUAUAAGACUGGGAUAACUUCGGGAAACCGGAGCUAAUACCGGAUGAUAUUUUGAACCGCAUGGUUCAAAAGUGAAAGACGGUCUUGCUGUCACUUAUAGAUGGAUCCGCGCUGCAUUAGCUAGUUGGUAAGGUAACGGCUUACCAAGGCAACGAUGCGUAGCCGACCUGAGAGGGUGAUCGGCCACACUGGAACUGAGACACGGUCCAGACUCCUACGGGAGGCAGCAGUAGGGAAUCUUCCGCAAUGGGCGAAAGCCUGACGGAGCAACGCCGCGUGAGUGAUGAAGGUCUUCGGAUCGUAAAACUCUGUUAUUAGGGAAGAACAUAUGUGUAAGUAACUAUGCACGUCUUGACGGUACCUAAUCAGAAAGCCACGGCUAACUACGUG